rnacentral:rRNA from 1 species
CACGCGAAGUGAGAGAGCGUGGAGCAGGGAGGGACGUGAGUGAGAGAGAGCGGAGUAGGGAGGGAUGUGAAGUGAGAGAGAGCGGAACAGGGAGGGAAAGAGCGGUCCACUCGACUUCUAGACUUCUCUCUCCUCUUCGGCACUACCUUCGACCUCCUCUACGUAGUGAAUUGCUCAUCGCCGCCGAGGACGUCGCCGCGGCGUCGGACCAAAGUCGGCGGUACGCGUCGGAAUGCCGACCGCGCCGCCAUUGCGACUGGGAGGAACGCCGCCACGUGGGAUUGUUUCCGCCCGAGUAGGAGCGACGUAAGCCCUGACAGAAGUGCCUCGCUACGUCUACGAUAACCCUCUUUAAGAGCCCCCCUCGGUACCGUUUUCUACGCCGCCGGAUCCCGGGUAGAAUUUAUUCCCGGGUUAUAUAGAUGUUGAAUUUAUUUAACGUUUUUUUACCUAAAAGGUUUGUUUUUUUUUGUACCUGUCCCCCGUAUACGGGGGGGAGGAGUUACGUGAAGUGGUGGUACAACAUAAACAAGU